AUGCUGCCUUGUGAAAGUAUACAUCAUCUGUUAAAAAUAAUCUAAUUUGAACCUGAUCAAAUUUCUAACAAUAACUACUCAUUUGCAGAAAAUACAAGGGACAGAUAUGUUAAACACACCGUGCAAAUACAAUCAUCAAAGUCAAGACAACAAAAACAAUGUGAAAAAUAAUAAUUAAAAAAAAAAGAAACGGCAGGGGAAUCCAUGGUGUAAAAGAGACUUAAGAUACUUAAGACCCAUGUAUGGGUCUUGCUUGGGUUGCCUUUCAAACAAACGGUUAAAAAAAAUGUUAUAGUCAGGAAAUAUGAACACUUAAUAUAUGAUAAUAUUAGGGAGGUAAUGUAUUUAUGUUUUAGGAUGAUUUUUAAUGAAAUAUUCACGGUCAAAUGAUAUGAUGUCUAGGCUUUGGGGAGUAAGCCGAGCUGUAAGUGAGGAAGGACUUGGAGUGUAGCCAUCAUUGCUUAAUCUGGGUGGUAGGUAGAGUGGAUUCAUUACAUUUUUUUCUCUUUUCUAUAUUUGAAGUUUUUUAAUAGUAAAAUGUUUUUUUUAAGACAUCAGGAGGAUUUAUAAGCACAUACGGUUACUACUUGAGACAUGCUUUGUGUCCUGGGAGAAAUCCCUCUCAGGAAUACACCUGGCGAACUAAACGGAAAGGGUAGGUGUAGAUUUUGAAGGUCGUAAAUGCAUCUGUAUCUGAGUGUCCGCCUGCCUUUUACCCUACUCUUCUUCAUAACGCAAGUCCGUGGAUGCCUUUAGUGAGCACUAGAAUCGCAGUCACUUCUCAAAGUGAACAUUCAAGAAUAAGGAUGUUCUUACGCUGUUAACUUCGGGCCUUAAGUUAUAAGUCACCAAGGUAAUUGUUCCUUGUGUGUGUUUGCAUGUGGUGACCUGAAGGAAAGGAACCUGGUGUCUGAGUCACACGUUGUCGCUCACGUCCCUCUCCUUCUCCGUGUUUUCUUCCUAGGUAUUUCCAUACCAUAUACUUAGGUCUUCGAAGCCGGCAGAGUGGGGAGAACGACCGAUGGCGGUUUUACUGGAAAAUGGUGUAUGAGUAUGCAGAUGUGAGUAUGCUGCAUUUGCUAGCCACCUUUCUGGAAAGUGCUCCACAGCUGGUCCUGCAGCUCUGCAUUGUCGUACAGACUCAUAGCUUACAGGCCCUCCAAGGUUUCACAGCGGCAGCCUCCCUUGUGUCUUUGGCUUGGGCCUUGGCUUCUUAUCAGAAGGCCCUCCGGGACUCUCGCGAUGACAAGAAGCCCAUCAGCUACAUGGCCGUCAUCAUCCAGUUUUGCUGGCACUUCUUCACCAUUGCGGCGAGAGUCAUCACAUUUGCUCUCUUUGCCUCAGUGUUCCAGCUGUACUUUGGGAUCUUCAUCGUCCUGCACUGGUGCAUCAUGACCUUCUGGAUCGUCCACUGUGAGACAGAAUUCUGUAUCACCAAAUGGGAAGAGAUUGUGUUUGACAUGGUGGUAGGGAUAAUCUACAUCUUCAGCUGGUUCAAUGUCAAGGAAGGUCGGACACGCUGCAGGCUCUUCAUUUACUACUUCGUGAUCCUCCUGGAAAACACAGCCCUGAGUGCCCUCUGGUACCUCUACAAGGCUCCCCAGAUUGCAGAUGCGUUUGCCAUCCCCGCCCUGUGUGUGGUGUUCAGCAGCUUUUUAACUGGCGUUGUUUUUAUGCUGAUGUAUUAUGCCUUCUUUCACCCCAAUGGACCCAGGUUUGGGCAGUCGCCGAGCUGUGCUUGUGAGGAUCCAGCAGCUGCCUUCACUCUGCCUCCGGAAGUGGCCACAAGCACUCUACGGUCCAUCUCCAACAACCGCAGUGUGGCCAGUGACCGUGAUCAGAAAUUUGCUGAGCGGGAUGGGUGUGUGCCUGUCUUUCAGGUGAGGCCGACAGCCCCAUCCACGCCAUCCUCUCGCCCCCCACGGAUUGAAGAAUCAGUCAUUAAAAUUGACCUGUUCAGGAAUAGGUAUCCAGCAUGGGAGAGGCACGUUUUGGACCGAAGCCUCCGAAAGGCCAUUUUAGCUUUCGAAUAUUCCCCGUCUCCUCCGAGGUUGCAGUACAAAGAUGAUGCCCUUAUUCAGGAGCGGUUGGAGUAUGAGACUACUUUAUAGAGCAGAAGAAUUUGCAGGAGCCACCGGGUCCAGUGAAAGAUUGACAGUGGGCUGUGGCAAUAAUGGAACUUCAUCCUAGAGUAGGGCAAGCAGCUGUGACCUUCUCAGUCCAGCCGUCAUCAUGACUAUGGUUUGAUCCAUUGUAGCUGACUAGCUGGUGUUGGCCUCCUGUCCAAACAGCAGCCCCAAGAGCCUCAGCUACUCCACCUGAAGGAGCAACCCAGCACAGGACUCCUCGUUGUUACCAAGCUUCUGCACAGUCUUUCAACGCAUCCACCAGAGGGUAGUCAUGAUGGAAAAUUUGCCUCAAAUCCAUAGGGUGUUUUGAUAGAGUAAACUGAUCUUUACAUAAAGAUACAUUCAGUCGCACACACACAAACACACACACACAUGACAGCAGUCUUCUGUCAAAAUAGUGUUGGUGAUUUUUCUUGAUGCAAAGCUCUGGAACACAUACGCACACACACAAAAAGAGAGAGAAUAUAACCUUCAAGACUCCAGGAAAAAAAAAUAGCACUACUUAGAAAAUAAUUCAUAAAAACAUUUUCUUAUUAGGAAAUAAUACCAUGUGUGAAAAGCCUACCCGAUGGACAGUCCACUCAAGUGUGUUUACAUAUGUAUUCGAAUUGAGUGAAUGGUUAGUUUUCUACACAUUUGACGGUUUAUAUUUUAUUUUACAUUUUCCGUUGGGAACAUCCUUUAUGACAGAAAUCCUAUGCAGCACAUUUAUGGUUUUCAGUAAGAAGAAGGAGCUCACCAACUUAGUGAUGUAAACAAAUGAUAAUCAUGAUUCAGUAUUCAGUUGCAGAAAUUUAAUAAAUACAAAGGGAAGAAGUGGGAAAAAGGCAAAAGGAGAGUCUGAUUCUACACUGGGGUGGCUCCACUGGAAUGACAGGCAGGAUGGCAGGAUGGACCAGGGUUCAGGAUGCUGGAUGCAUGACUCUGUGGGAAUGCAAGCAGGCGUGACAAGAGACCACAACGUUGCCAUACCUUUCUAGUGCCAAACACUGAGUACCCGCAAGACUGAUAUGGAAGCCAGAUGGACUGAGCGCCACAGAAGCGGAUGCAAGAAUGAACAAUGAAGUUCUCCACUAUGUACAGACGUUCUUCCCCAAUCUAAGGUCAACCUGAUGUGUUUUUAGAGGCUUUGGGACACAUUUUAGUAAGUAUGAGCAGACAAAUGCAGUGAAAUAUGCUAUGAGAACUCUCUCCUGAACUGACUGAGGGCUUAUCACUAUAUCCAGCUCAAAUUUGUACGUAUUUGAAUUAUUUGUAAAGUUGCACUCUUACAAGCUUCUGGGUUUCAAAUACCUCCGUACAGCAAGUAAAAGUCACCCUGCUUUCUGUUCUGUGUCCUCCUGUCAUGGUGCUUUUUGUUGCAUUAAAAGUGCCGGUCAAACUUUGAUAGUAUUUUUUUAUAGUUGGUGCAGAGUGGAAUAACUCAUGGAUUAUUUCAAUAUUUUUGUAAUAAAAAAAUAUAGGGUAUACAUAUAGGUGUCAUCACUUUUUUUAUAGACCUGGAAUUGUUUCAGCAUCAUAGUUUCAGUAUCAUAAUCACUUGGGAUGUCAGAGUCUGGUCCCCAAAUCCCAUCCACCUGCUUCUGCAGAUUGAAAGCACUUGUCUCUUGGAAGAUCACUUGACUUUUCAAUAUUGGUGCACCCAGGAACCUGGCCAGGGGUGCUAUCAGAAUAUCAGGUGAAGAGAGAAUCCACUUAACUAGAAAGGGCUUGUCGAGACUGGCCAAUGUUUCCCAGGAAAUCAAAGAUGUAAAUGCUUACUUUCAUCUGUCCCUCAUGGCAACCUGACCACAGUGGAAGAUGUCUUAAACUGCCUCCCCUGUUUUAUUUUAACCCAGCUGAUAAAUAUUAGUCAAGUCACCAAAAAAGGAGGGGAAAAAGUUAGUUUAACUUAAUUAUUCAAUUAUUUGGACUGGCUUAAUACGGUCAACUUCUAUAGCCACCACCUGUAAUGCGUGCAUAACACAGAGGCCGCUGGCCCCAUGAUGAUAUUUGCAGGAAGGGGCAGAAGCCUCAACUUAAGACUUCUUUUGGUAUAAAGCCCCAGAGCAAUUUUUUUUAAAUCAACAAUUUUUAUUAGUAGAUGUACUUCCGUAGUACUCCGUGUCUUGAUCCUCCAAGCAAGAUUUCCACUCAAAAAUAAUAACCUUUGCUCGGAUAUGGGAAGAUGGCGUACCCACCAGUAAAGGCCCAGGAAUAUGCUCUGCUUUUCAGCACAAUCACCGUUUUAGAAGGAAAAAAGUUGAUUAUGUUGGCAAAUUCUUUACUCUCGCGCAGAACCAUGAGUUACUGGCUUCAUUAUUUCCAAGAACACUUUUUACGUGAUAAUCUUUGGAAAUCGAAUUGCUCAGCAGAACCUUUGACUCCAUGAGUAAAUAACAGAUUACAAUCUAAUAAUGUCAAUCAACACAAAACCCAACAAGCUCACUCUUCAAUCAUACUGACAUUCCUAAAUGAAAGCAUAUAUAUAGAAGGAAGAAUUUUCCAUGUAAGUCAAAGUUUGGCUCCCCCAAAUAACUGUCUUUAAAUCAACUCUUUGGGCUUUUGUGCCGUCCUACUUAGUCCUGUGUUAUCUAGCUCAGUAAUAUUCACUUUGUAGACCCUCAGUUAUUAUUCUUUGAUGGUAAUUCUGUUAACCCAAGAAAUGAGAAACAUUA